AGCAACUGAAUAAGGAUUGACUGCAUAUGAAAAAAAGAGCUGUUAUUGAGAAAUUUCAUUAUUUUCCUGGAGAGUGUGGCUUUCUAGCUUCUCUGCAUCUCUCAAGCGCUCUGUGCUUGUGACCUUGGUGAGACUGAAGAGAUCUACUGGCUUCGAGGGAAACACUGGUGGUGUCCAGCAUCGCUUGCACUCCAUGAGAGGAGCCUGGUGAAUGGGACUUGAAGCCACACAACGUAGUCUUUAUGAAAAGGAAAGUGGUGGACAAGACCAAGAGAGCCCACAGCACCAUGGUGCAUCCCCCUCCUACUGUGUCACCUGGCAUCCCAGCAGAAUGCCCAGCUCCCAAACUGCAGGGUGCCCAGGAAGUGGAAUUCUUGCACUGAUCCUCAUGUCACCAUUUCAUUUUGUAUAAAAUAGUUUAAAAAAACCAGCAGAACAAGGCCUAGACUCCUAAUGUAAUGCAUCUUUUGGUGAACACCAAAAGGUCACAGGCUCUGGAGCCGUCCUCUCCCAGUGAGUACUUGUGAAAUGAACCUGUGGCAAGAGCAGAGAUUUUCUAUGAGCUCCUUCCUUGCUGCUCACAGUCAUUAUGUCUGUAUAUAUCUCCCCCAAACCCUUUCUCCAGGGAUGUGUUUUUGGACUAGGCUUUGUGCAGGUCACUCUGCAACACCUCGUGUAUCGUGCAGUACACACUGCAGAAGUCCCUUACUCAGAGCAUGGUGGUGGAGUCAGAUGCCAGGCUGAUGGGACUGAUGCAUUCAGAUCUCCCCAGACAGAAGGUAUAGCCAAACCCAAGUCAUGCACUGGCUGGAUGAGCACUCUGAUGGUGAAGGACUUGGGAGGUUAUCAUCUCCACACUCUCACACUUAGCCCCGAGGAGAUAAAUCUCUAUGCAUCUAC
rnacentral:lncRNA from 7 species